CAGUGAUGAGGGAAGGAGGACCGCCUCACCGAACUGAAGUAUUUUUCAUUUAUAAGUGAAAUCUGACUUAUCAGUUGAAUUAUAAAAUAAACUCGGUUCCACAGUGGGAAUAAUUGUGUGGUGCAGUGACAGUGCAGAACUUCCAGGACCAUAAGAAUGGAUAUAAGUGAGGAAUUAGGCAGAUAAAUCUAGUGUUUCAUGUAUGCCGCCGUUGUACCAAGAGUUCAGGUGAAUACUCGCCAGUUUUUGUUCCUUGCUGGAACGUGGAUCGCUCUGUCGUGUGCUCCAGACGACGCUGCCAACACCUGAUAGAUAAAGAGGAACCUGCAUACCUGUCUCCCCCCCCACCCCCCCGUCGGCUAUCAGCAACCGCAAGUCAAGACAAUUGCAUAGAUCACAAAGGCCGAAAAAAACGGAUUAUACAACCCAAAGGUAC